GAAUAAAACCUCUGAGAGCAGCAGAGAACAGACACAACCAGCAGUUUGCAUGCGGUCACCUUCUUUUACACUUUGAGAUUGUCAACAAUCCCAAAGAUUCAGCAGCUCAAAUGACUUAAGUAGGUUCUAGGUUGUAUUAUUUAGGACAAACAAGAGAAAAGCUUAACAACCUGGCUAAACAUCAGUCUAUAUAUAGUCUCCUCGUUGAAAGCGAUCUGCUCUGUCUGACUCCAUGGGCCAAUAGCGAUGGGAAUACAGACCCGGACCCUACCGUUGCUCCUCCCCUUCCUGCACUCCUCCCCCCGUCAUGUGGCCCAUCGACGCUCAUUAAAACUUUCAGCCAAUGGCAUCCUGCCAACACACAGCCACACCCUCCUGUGUUGCCAUUUUAGCAACGGCAGCUCUGCCGCCCAGCCUGUGAUUGGUCAAGACUCUGUGAGGUCCUAGGCCACACCUACCCCCGCGAUGACGUCACCAAUAUUACACCAAGAUCCUGGCCAAAGUUGGAAGGAAUCUCCACAAUCAAUCCCAUCAUCCUCUCUGGCUCAUCAAGGAGAGGAUCAAAGACCAUUUUUAUGGCGCCUAUACCGGUCGUGGGAACCCCUUGUUCUCGGUCCAUGACAACCUGAGUCCUGUUGUUACCACCGAGCAGAACUUUGACAGCCUUCUGAUCCCAGCUGAUCACCCCAGCAGGAAAAAGAGGCGACAACUACUUCCUGAACAGGACUACGAUGCUCCGUGCACACACAUCUGCCCACCAGAGGGAGCUAGUGAGGUCGGGCCUGGAUAGGUUCCUAUUGGCUGGAGAUGUAUACAGGCGGGACGAGAUCGACGCCACUCAUUAUCCCGUCUUCCAUCAGAUGGAGGGCGUUCGGCUGUUCACUAAUCAUGAGCUGUUCUCGCGGGUGAGAACGGCGAGGACCUGUCUCUGUUUGAGGCGGGCGGCAGACGCACGGCUCAGAA